UCCGAUUUCUGGAGUUUUCCCCUACAUUCUACCAUUCAGCUACUGAUUAUUGAAUUCCUGAUAUACCGAGAGCCCAGCUGAUUUCGUCUUGGUAAU
ensembl:ncRNA Y62F5A.15 ncRNA